GGAAGCAAAAGUCGUAACAAGGUCUCCGUUGGUGAACCAGCGGAGGGAUCAUUACCGAGUUUACAACUCCCAAACCCCAUGUGAACCUUACCAAACGUUGCUUCGGCGGGAUGCCCCGGGCGCGGGCCGCAAGGCCUCAGCCCCGGAACCAGGCGCCCGCCGGAGGCCCAAACCAAACUCUUGUUUUUGUAGAAUCUUCUGAGUGGCCUUUUAGGCAAAAAAUGAAUCAAAACUUUCAACAACGGAUCUCUUGGUUCUG
rnacentral:misc_RNA from 1 species